rnacentral:rRNA from 1 species
AGUGAACGCUGGCGGUAGGCCUAACACAUGCAAGUCGAACGGCAGCACAGUAAGAGCUUGCUCUUACGGGUGGCGAGUGGCGGACGGGUGAGGAAUACAUCGGAAUCUACUUUUUCGUGGGGGAUAACGUAGGGAAACUUACGCUAAUACCGCAUACGACCUACGGGUGAAAGCAGGGGAUCUUCGGACCUUGCGCGAUUGAAUGAGCCGAUGUCGGAUUAGCGAGUUGGCGGGGUAAAGGCCCACCAAGGCGACGAUCCGUAGCUGGUCUGAGAGGAUGAUCAGCCACACUGGAACUGGGACACGGUCCAAGCUCCUACGGGAGGCAGCAGUGGGGAAUUUUGGACAAUGGGCGCAAGCCUGAUCCAGCCAUACCGCGUGGGUGAAGAAGGCCUUCGGGUUGUAAAGCCCUUUUGUUGGGAAAGAAAAGCAGCAGGUUAAUACCCCGCUGUUCUGACGGUACCCAAAGAAUAAGCACCGGCUAACUUCGUG